rnacentral:tRNA from 1 species
UUCAAAAAAGCAAAUUGCAUAAAAUUUAAGAUUUUAUAUUGUGAAUAUUUUUUCACUUUUGAAA